AUAAAGGGCUUACUCGUCAGGAAUGAUAUCUUCCGCUGGGUCCACUCGCUCUUCAAAAUGCAAACGCUCGUC